AUCGCUUCUUGGCCUUUUGGCUAAGAUCAAAUGUGGAAAUAAUUAUUACAACUGAAGUUUUUUUGGUUUGUUUUUUGUUUUUUUGGCCAUGCCCUCCUUGGUGUUCCCAUGGUCUAAUGUAUGACUCAGUUACAGGACUGAUCACGUGUAAUAUUA
rnacentral:snRNA from 1 species